AGCUUUGCGCAGUGGCAGUAUCGUAGCCAAUGAGGUUUAUCCGAGGCGCGAUUAUUGCUAAUUGAAGAUGACACAAACAAAUGGAAAAAUAGUCCAACUCAUGAAUUGGGAAAAUGAGUAUUGUUAAAAUGUACAUAUU